CAGGAGGAGCUGGUUUGGCUGUUAAGAAGACUACUGAAUGCAGGUGACCUCCUACCUCAACACACAUCACACUAUCUCUUCAAUCAACUGAUGGGACUUGUGAUGUACUAUGUCAGGUCUCCUGUGCGAGGGGAAGAUGAUGCCAUGGCCAUCACUCUGUCUGCUGUAUGUCAGGUUCUACCUUUUGUUGAAAGUCUGUAUCCCAAAGAUGUGAAACCGAUUCUGAGAAAAGAGCACUGCGAG